UGGCUCAGAUUGAACGCUGGCGGCAGGCCUAACACAUGCAAGUCGAGCGGUAGAGAGAAGCUUGCUUCUCUUGAGAGCGGCGGACGGGUGAGUAAUGCCUAGGAAUCUGCCUGGUAGUGGGGGAUAACGUUCGGAAACGAACGCUAAUACCGCAUACGUCCUACGGGAGAAAGCAGGGGACCUUCGGGCCUUGCGCUAUCAGAUGAGCCUAGGUCGGAUUAGCUAGUUGGUGAGGUAAUGGCUCACCAAGGCGACGAUCCGUAACUGGUCUGAGAGGAUGAUCAGUCACACUGGAACUGAGACACGGUCCAGACUCCUACGGGAGGCAGCAGUGGGGAAUAUUGGACAAUGGGCGAAAGCCUGAUCCAGCCAUGCCGCGUGUGUGAAGAAGGUCUUCGGAUUGUAAAGCACUUUAAGUUGGGAGGAAGGGCAGUUACCUAAUACGUGAUUGUUUUGACGUUACCGACAGAAUAAGCACCGGCUAACUCUGUGCCAGCAGCCGCGGUAAUACAGAGGGUGCAAGCGUUAAUCGGAAUUACUGGGCGUAAAGCGCGCGUAGGUGGUUUGUUAAGUUGGAUGUGAAAUCCCCGGGCUCAACCUGGGAACUGCAUUCAAAACUGACUGACUAGAGUAUGGUAGAGGGUGGUGGAAUUUCCUGUGUAGCGGUGAAAUGCGUAGAUAUAGGAAGGAACACCAGUGGCGAAGGCGACCACCUGGACUAAUACUGACACUAG
rnacentral:rRNA from 1 species